UUGAAAGGGAAACGAUUGAAGUCAGUCGUACCAGCGGGAAAUCAACCUUUCGAGUGGGGGUUUUGGAGUUUUGAAGAGUGUUAAAACCUUUGAGAUUUCAAAAUGUUCGCUCUUUUGGUGUACUUUCUCGUAGGUAGGUUAACAUCGAUUUUGAUCAUCAUAAAAGGAUUGGAGGAAUGUAGCUUCGAUCUCGUGUUGAAGUGUUAUAGCCUUUGGUAAAUGUGAUGAUUAGGAUCGAGGAUUGCAACGAAUACCCUUUUGGGCUAUCCGCCUGAUCUCUGAUACGUGACCUUGGUAUUGAAAGCGUGCUUAUGAUAUUGAGGUAUUACGGUCAAAAGGUUAGAACGGAUUACAUUCGUUAAGGAUGUUGACGUA
rnacentral:rRNA from 1 species